GAGACUGCCAUUGUUACCGAGCCUGGCUGUACUGUGUACAAGGGGAGUCAUAGCAAGGAUGGGGGGGACACCCUCUGAUUGGUACAGGUGCGCCAUCUCACCUUAGCCCCAAGUGACAGCCACCCACCCACCACCUUCCCACACCUGGCAUGGUGAGCAAAGAUCUAUGGGAGUCAUCAUUCAUGUGAUCCACAAUCCCUAUGAUAUAAAAGAGGGAGGAUCUUGUUUAUCACUGGUAGGCAAUGCUAUUCUAGAACCAUGAUAGAAUUAGGGUUGCCACCUCAUCCCUUUAAAACCGAAGAAGUAUUAAUUACACAGGAUCUGUGGCUUAUUAAGGUGGUAAUUAAACUCGAUGCCUUAUCUGCGUUCAUCUAGCCUCAGAACCUGUGUAAUUCAUAUGUGCUUGGGUUUAAAGGGAUGAGGUGGCAACCCUAGAUAGAAUUCCAGUCUCAUCUCUCUGCCAUAGGAUCAUCUGACGCUGUGAAGGCUGUGUAUUCCUUCCUUAGGGAUUGAAAAACCCAACACAUAAGAACAUGUAUUCUAGUGGCUAAAUUAUUGCUCACUGGGUAUCUGAGAACUUGAUCUUUGCCAAAGGCUCUUUUAACCCUACUGGGGAUAAUAAAGUAUACAUUUUUGGAUGUUUGUUAGAUGCUACGACCAGUGUUGGAAGUAGUCAGCAAAGGGUCACUGCAGGAACCAUUUUCUAGACUCCCCCUCCCCUUCUUUCCUUUUUUAAUUUACAUGCCAAGUACAAACACUGUACAUUCACUGUGUACAGAUAGAUGUAGAUGACGAGUAGCCUUUAGAAUGCCCUCUGAACUCUCUCACGGUCCAUAGAUAAAUAGAUGUAGGUGAAGAGCAGUUUGGAUGCACCCUGAACUCACAGUCCAUAGAUAGAUGUAGGUGGGGAGCAGUUGGGAUACACCCUGAACUCACAGUCCAUAGAUAGAUGUAGGUUGGGAUGCACCCUAAACUCACAGUCCAUGGAUAGAUGUAGGUGGGGAGCAGCCUUUGGGAUUCUCUCUGUCAGUCCAUAGAUAAAUAGAUGUAAGUGAAGAGCAGUUGGGAUGCACCCUAAACUCACAGUCCAUAGAUAGAUGUAGGUGGGGAGCAGUUGGGAUGCACCCUAAACUCACAGUCCAUAGAUAGAUGUAGGUGGGGAGCAGUUGGGAUGCACCCUAAACUCACAGUCCAUAGAUAGAUGUAGGUUGGGAUGCACCCUAAACUCACAGUCCAUAGAUAGAUGUAGGUGGGGAGCAGUUGGGAUGCACCCUAAACUCACAGUCCAUAGAUAGAUGUAGGUUGGGAUGCACCCUAAACUCACAGUCCAUAGAUAGAUGUAGGUGGGGAGCAGUUGGGAUGCACCCUAAACUCACAGUCCAUAGAUAGAUGUAGGUUGGGAUGCACCCUAAACUCACAGUCCAUAGAUAGAUGUAGGUGGGGAGCAGCCUUUGGGAUUCUAUCUGUCAGUCCAUAGAUAAAUAGAUGUAGGUGAAGAGCAGUUGGGAUGCACCCAGAACUCACAGUCCAUAGAUAGAUGUAGGGGGGGAGCAGUUGGGAUGCACCCUAAACUCACAGUCCAUAGAUAGAUGUAAGUGAAGAGCAGUUGGGAUGCACCCAGAACUCACAGUCCAUAGAUAGAUGUAGGUGGGGAGCAGCCUUUGGGAUUCUCUCUGUCAGUCCAUAGAUAAAUAGAUGUAGGUGAAGAGCAGUUGGGAUGCACCCUGAACUCACAGUCCAUAGAUAGAUGUAGGUGGGGAGCAGCCUUUGGGAUUCUCUCUGUCAGUCCAUAGAUAAAUAGAUGUAGGUGAAGAGCAGUUGGGAUGCACCCUGAACUCACAGUCCAUAGAUAGAUGUAGGUGGGGAGCAGCCUUUGGGAUUCUCUCUGUCAGUCCAUAGAUAAAUAGAUGUAAGUGAAGAGCAGUUGGGAUGCACCCUGAACUCACAGUCCAUAGAUAGAUGUAGGUGGGGAGCAGCCUUUGGGAUGCUCUCCAAACUUUCUCUUUUCAUGGAUAAUUUGAUGUAGGAGGUGAAGAGCAGCCUUUUAGAUGAACCAUGGCUUCUCUCAAAGUCCAUAGAUAGAAGUUGGGGAAGGGUAGCUUUUGGGAUGCUCUCCAAACUCUAUCAUAGUCCUUAGAUGCACUUUGAGCUCUCUUACAGUUCAUAGAUGUUGGGGGAGGGAAGCCUUUGGGGUACUCUCCAAAUAUUAUCACAGUCCAUAAAUAGAUGUAGGUAGAGGGAAUCUCUUUAAGAUGCUCUGUGAAAUCUCUCACAGUCCAUAGCUUGAUAGAUGUAGGUGAAAAACAGCCUUUGAGAUGUUCUCCAAACGCUAUUACCAAUAGAUAUAGGUGAAGGCUAAACUCUCUCAUGACCAAUAGACAAAUAGAUGUAGGUAAUGAGUAGCCUUUGAGACACUCUCUGAACUUUUUUUUUUUUUUUUUUGUCAUGGUACAUGCAUAUUAGGAAAGAGUAGUCUUUGGGAUGCUCUCUAUCACAGUCUUGAAGUAGAUCUAGAUUAAGAGGUUCCUUUUGGGAUGCCGUCUGAACACUCUGGUGGUCCAUAGACAAAUAGAGAUAGGUAAAAAGUAACCUUUGGGAUGCCCCCGGAACUUUCUCACGGUCCAUAGAUGGAUAAAUAGAUGUAGGUAAAGGGCAGUUGGGAUGGUCUCUCUGUCCAUAGAUAAAUAGAUGUAGGUAAAGGGCAGUUGGGAUGGCCUCUCUGUCCAUAGAUGUAGGUGAAAAGCAACCUUUUGAAUGCACUUUGAGCUCAUUCACAGUCCAUAGAUGGCUAAAUGUUAGGGAAGGGUAGCCCUUGGGAUGCUCUCAAAACUCUAUCAUAGUUUAUAAAUAGAUGUAGGUGAAAAGCAGUCUUUGGGAUGCUUUCCAAAAUCUAUCACCAAUCAUAGAUCUAGAUUAAGAGAAUCCUUUGGGAUGCCCUCUGAACUUUCUCAUGGGCCAUAGAAAAAUACAUCUAUGUAAAAAAGUAGCCUAUUGGAUGCUUUGAACUUUUUGUGAUCCAUAGAUAUUGGGAAAGAGUAGCCUUUGGGAUGCUCUACAGUCUAUAUCACAGUCUAUGGAUUGUUUGAUGUAAUCCCUUUGGGAUGCUUUCUGAACUCUUUUGUGGUCCAUAGAUGUGUAGGUGAAAAAUAGCCUUUGGGAUGCUUUCUGAAUGCUCAUGGUCCAUAGAUAGAUUUUUUGAAAGAGCAGCAUUUGGGAUGUUCUCAAAACACUCUCGCAGUCCAUAGAUACAUGGAUGUAGAUAAAAAGUGUCUUUUGAGAUGCUUUCUGAAUUCUCUCACGGUCCAUAGAUGGACAGCUGUAGGGGAAGAGCCUUUAGGAUACGCUACAGACUCCUAGUUAUCCAUAAGGUGUAACUUGUCAUACAGAGAACACCAUGAGAAAAUGGAAAAUGAAUUAUGUAUACCAACACAUUUGGCAGCAAGGAAAGGUGGUGCCCUCUGUAAAACAUCGUUUUUGUAGACCAAUGGAAGGGUUUUGGGGUAUUGUGAGGAAUGGCUUCUGCUUCUCACCUACCCUAGAUGUGAGCAUGUCCAAGCUCUAGUGGAGUGUGACUUUGUGUAUACAUAGUUAUUGCUAACCUAAGGUAAGAAAUGCUGUAAAUGUGGUAGGGACAGUGACCCCUUUUUUAAAUAUUGCUUAAGAGAUAAAGGUGUUUACUGUAAGAGCCUUAUUCCAAAUGCAGUCAUAAAGUAAUCGGAAUUCAAUUGGUAGUCAAUUUAUUGCAUCAUACGUGACUUUAUUUUUUGUGUACAUUCUGCAUUGCUAUUGCAUAUACUGAAUAAGCCUUAUAACAUAUAAACCUUUACAAUUAAAUCUGAGAACAUUAUGAAAAGAAAGAUUAUCCUUUUUUUUUAACGUGUAUAUUGAAUUGAUCAGUAGUUAUAAGCUGCUGAAGUUAUAUACAAAGCUUAGCUUUUCCUCUGAGAUGGGCCUUGCCUUCUGUCACACCUCCUAUUGGUCUAUCAUUAUGCCUACCAUAAUAAAGGACAAGUAAGGAGGCGUGAAUGGGUGGGGCAGACUUAGUUUUUAUAGGAAAAGUUGGGAUUUACAUAACAUUGCAACUGUGGAUCAUUUUGACAGGUAACCUCUGCUCACACAUUUUCUAAUCCUGCUCGGUUUUAGUUGUCAGUGUGUCUGACUGGUUUACCUCCUGAGUUUCCUUUAUCAACCAAAUCCUUCCUUCUAAUGCAGGGUAGACAGCAUAUGCAUGAAUUUGAGUGGUUAGUGUGGGACUGCAAACAGUAACAGCCAAUUUAUACAAGAGAUACUUGGCAUUUUAUUUUUUAUGUGAAGUAGCAAAUCUCUACAGAAUGUUGCUAUUAUCCUUCAAGUGCAGCAGGAAGCUCAGUUGUACACUGAAGAGAUACUUACCCAGUAUUUCAAUGAACCUUUCACUUUUGACUAUUCAUUGUAGACAUCUUGGCAAACUUUUUUUUAUUUCUCCAGUUUCUGUAGCACUGACAUCUUAUGUUUCACAAAUUUUCGUAGCACUCUAAUGAUAGCAUAAGGCAGUAAACAUACGGUCAUUCAUAUUUCAGGGGACCAAGGUCACAUCAGUGAAAGGUGAGCUGCUAUUGGUUGCUUUGGGUUAGUGAAUUCUGGCAAUUUUAAGUGCUACUUUUUCAGUUGUAUGAGAUCAUUUCAGAUUGUUUUAUGCAGUGGGAAAAUAGAAAUUGUGGUCACAAUGUGCUGGAAAAUGUAAAUUGUGGUAAUGCUAAUAGAGGAUGUUAGUGUUUUGUAGUUGGGUUUAAAAACAUGUCCACAUUGCCUUCAAAACAAUAAACAUCCACUUUUCUUGUUACUGUUAUUUCUGGAGGUUACCAUUGUGCAAAUUAUUGGCUUUGUUGAGUAACAUUGAGGGGAUGUUUAAAAAAAGUUUUGGCCUUUUGUAUGAAUAUUACGCUUUUCAAUCUAGCUAGCAAUGUGUUGGGCGUGUGUAAAUGGAUAGGAAA